rnacentral:rRNA from 1 species
ACUCCUACGGGAGGCAGCAGUGGGGAAUAUUGCACAAUGGGGAAACCCUGAUGCAGCCAUGCCGCGUGUGUGAAGAAGGCCUCGGUUGUAAGCACUUCAGUAGGGAGGAAGGUAGUGUAGUUAACACCUGCACUAUUUGACGUUACCUACAGAAGAAGCACCGGCUAACUCCGUGCCAGCAGCCGCGGUAAUACGGAGGGUGCGAGCGUUAAUCGGAAUUACUGGCGUAAAGCGCAUGCAGGCGGCCUGUUAAGUCAGAUGUGAAAGCCCGGGGCUUAACCUCGGAAUUGCAUUUGAAACUGGCAGGCUAGAGUCUUGUAGAGGGGGUAGAAUUUCAGGUGUAGCGGUGAAAUGCGUAGAGAUCUGAAGGAAUACCAGU